rnacentral:rRNA from 1 species
CCUACGGGAGGCUGCAGUGGGGAAUAUUGGACAAUGGGCGAAAGCCUGAUCCAGCCAUGCCGCGUGUGUGAAGAAGGCCUUCGGGUUGUAAAGCACUUUCAGUGGGGAAGAAAGCCUUGGGGCUAAUACCCUCGAGGAAGGACAUCACCCACAGAAGAAGCACCGGCUAACUCCGUGCCAGCAGCCGCGGUAAUACGGAGGGUGCGAGCGUUAAUCGGAAUUACUGAGCGUAAAGCGCGCGUAGGCGGUCUGAUAAGCCGGUUGUGAAAGCCCCGGGCUCAACCUGGGAACGGCAUCCGGAACUGUCAGGCUAGAGUGCAGGAGAGGAAGGUAGAAUUCCCGGUGUAGCGGUGAAAUGCGUAGAGAUCGGGAGGAAUACCAGUGGCGAAGGCGGCCUUCUGGACUGACACUGACGCUGAGGUGCGAAAGCGUGGGUAGCAAACAGGAUUAGAUACCCGAGUAGUC